GAGGUAGUGACAAUAAAUCACAAUGCGGAACAAUGUUUUGCAAUUGGAUUGAGAACAACGUACAAACCUUAUCGAUAAACAAUUGGAGGGCAAGUCUGGUGCCAGCAGCCGCGGUAAUUCCAGCUCCAAUAGCGUAUAUUAACGUUGUUGCAGUUAAAAAGCUCGUAGUUGAAAUGAAGGGUAGUUGUGUAAUGAAUACAUUCGUGUAUUUUGUUAUUCUACUACCCUCCUUCUAAAUUCGAUAUAUGAGUAUUAAUUUACUUGUAUAUGGUUUUAGACUUUUACUGUGAGAAAAUUAGAGUGUUCAAAGCAGGCAUUUGCUUGAAUAUAUUAGCAUGGAAUAAUCAUGUAUGAUUUUCAUGAUGUAUUUGAUUGGUUUGGUUCAUGAGAAUAAGAUUAAAAGGGACAGUUGGGGGUAUUCAUAUUCAAUAGUCAGAGGUGAAAUUCUCGGAUUUAUGGAAGAUGAACAAGUGCGAAAGCAUUUACCAAGGAUG
rnacentral:rRNA from 1 species